UCCAGGCCCACUGUGAGGCAAGGUAUCAGCCCUGUGUGGAAGAAGCUACUCACUUCAUGGCUGACGGGAAACAGGAAGUCAUUAGGGACCUACUUUUUCUGACUAGGCCCGGCCUCCCACAGUAACACCCAAGCCUCCCACACGGGAGCCUCUGGGCACCACAGGGCCGGCAGUGGUCCUGUUUCCAAUUCAGGUUUCCUACUGUGCCCCAUGGAGCCCCAGACAGGGGUCACUGUACAGUCAGGCAGCGCAGUGGACAGAUUCAGAAAGACCCUGCAGUAGAGGCGAACAGCAGGGGCAGGCCGUGUGCCUGACGUACUUCCGGCCCUUGGACUCUCCGAGAGCCACGCUGGCUUCAUCCUUUAAGCCACGAGAGGCCGCAGGGUCUCAGAAUGGGCUCUGCUCAGAGGCGCACUGCCGCAGGCCCGAGUAGAGCUGGGUCAUCACAUUGCUCAGGGGCCUAGGUUGCCUAAGGAGGGUACUCCCCUGUACCUGAGCCGAUGGGGCCAGGGACCUAAAUGACUGUCCCCUUUGACCGCAGGGGCCUGCGCUUCAUCCAGGUGUUCCUGCAGAGCAUCUGCGAUGGCGAACGGGACGAGAACCACCCCAACCUCAUCCGGGUAAACGCCAACAAGGCCUAUGAGAUGGCGCUAAAGAAGUAUCACGGCUGGCUGGUGCAGAAGAUCUUCAAGGCCGCACUGUAUGCAGCACCAUACAAGUCUGACUUCCUAAAGGCGCUCUCCAAGGGGCAGAACGUGACGGAGGAGGAGUGCCUG
rnacentral:lncRNA from 1 species